rnacentral:rRNA from 1 species
AACCUGGUUGAUCCUGCCAGUAGUCAUAUGCUUGUCUCAAAGACUAAGCCAUGCAUGUCUAAGUAUAAGUGUUAUACAGCGAAACUGCGAAUGGCUCAUUAAAACAGUUAUAGUUUAUUUGAUAAUCGAAUUUACAUGGAUAACCGUGGUAAUUCUAGAGCUAAUACAUGCUGGUAUGCCCGACUUUUGCGGAAGGGCGGUAUUUAUUAGAUAACAAGCCAAUAUUCCUCUGGUCUAUUGUGGUGACUCAUAAUAACUGAUCGAAUCGCAAGGCCUUUGGCCGCGAUAAAUCAUUCAAGUUUCUGCCCCAUCAGCUUUCGAUGGUAGUGUAUUGGACUACCAUGGCGUUUACGGGUAACGGAGGAUUAGGGUUCGAUUCCGGAGAGGGAGCCUGAGAAACGGCUACCACAUCUAAGGAAGGCAGCAGGCGCGUAAAUUACCCAAUCCUGACUCAGGGAGGUAGUGACAAGAAAUAACGGACCGGUUCCUUCGGAUUCGGGAUUGCAAUGAGCCGAAUUUACACCCCUUAGCGAGGAUCGAUUGGAGGGCAAGUCUGGUGCCAGCAGCCGCGGUAAUUCCAGCUCCAAUAGC